rnacentral:lncRNA from 1 species
UGGUUUCAUGCCUUAAAGAUACACAUGCGUUCAAACAAGAUCUCAUCUCUGGGUUAGGGUAAACUAUCAAGACUGAAAACUUACUUGUUUUACCUUUUUACCAUGGGACUUGUAACUGUCACUUCUGUCUUGAGCAGUUAAAAGAUAGAACGGUCUAGUCAAGCACCAUUUCUCUUAUUCUUGAUCAGCUAUAGCUCUGGAGUUUUUGUAGAUUUUCAAAUAAAACUUAGAGAUUCCUUGUAUGACUCUCUCUAGUCUCUCUUUUGUGGUAUUUCUGGAUCCUUACCAAUAAAGUAAUGGUGUAUGCCUUCUCUCAAAGUAUGUGGUAUUUUUGGUAUGAGGCAUAAUGACAUUGCCUUCUCUCUCAGCCUACUCUAAUAAGGUUUUGAUAUUUGGAGCUCAUAGGUGGGAGACAGCUAAUACAUACUUACAAGACAUUUAUUACAUAGUCAAACCAUGGAUCCAGAGAAACAAGUCAAUAAGUCAAAUCAAGAUGUGCAUGUGUGGCGAAUAAAUGGUGUAUGAUGAUGAUGGUGAUAAUAAUGGUGAAAGUCUAAUUCUACGUUUGCUCUUUUGAGGGGAUACAUACCUUUCUUGCACUUUGAAGCUUUUUGAGGGAAAUGAGAUGCUCUAUAUUUUCUCUUUUUUUUUCUCUUCUCUGAGGUGGGUAUCUUGUACCCCUAAUUCUACUGUCGGACACUUAUCCAUUUUUACCUCUCGUCUCACUUUUUCUUUUCUUCGAGGUUCCGGGCACUUGCCCCUUUUUAUUUCCUCGUAUUCACUUUUUUUCAGAGCACUCAUCCUCCUAGAAUAAUGUAGCAAGUGGUAGUAAGCAAGAUAUCUUGAGCAUUUAUUUCAAAGAGAAAAACAGGAAUAGGAGAAUGUUUUUGGCUAUUCUCUCCCGGAUUAGGAGUAGAAUAUUUUUGGGUGGUUCUGGAGACGGAAAUGGAUGGAUAUAUGUGGAUGCAUACUUCCGGAGUAGAAGUAGCAUGUGUAAGUGAACGUGCAAGUGAAUCUUGAUUUAACCACAUGACAAGCUCCUAAGGGUCUACACAGCUUGACCACACUCAAUGCUCAUAAGCAGUAAAGUACAUGUGUGGCUCAAAGUUUAGCAAGCAUGUAUAUAUGGCUAUGGUAGGAAUUUAAACUCUCAUCAUACAGGA